rnacentral:misc_RNA from 1 species
UACGUAGGCGGCAAGCGUUGUCCGGAUUUACUGGGCGUAAAGCGAGCGUAGGCGGUAGUAUAAGUCGCUUUUUAAAGCGUCCCGCUCAACGGGAUUGUUGGAAGCGAUACUAUAAUACUUGAGAUGUCGAGGGGUAGCUGGAACUUUCGGUGUAGGGGUGAAAUCCGAUGAUAUCGAAAGGAACACCAAGGGAGAAAUCAGGCUACUGGAGACAAUCUGACGCUGAGGUUCGACAGCUUGGGGAGCGAAAGGG